GCUUGCGGCGUGGAUAAGACAUGCAAGUCGAACGCAAAUCAUACUGUAGCAAUACAGUGUGGUUUUAGUGGCGAAAGGGUGCGUAACACGUGGGUAAUUUGCCUUGAAGUUGGGGAUAACUUGCCGAAAGGUGAGCUAAUACCGAAUGUGGUCUCUCGGCGGCAUCACCGAGAGUCUAAAGCUGGGGAUCUUCGGACCUGGCGCUUCAAGAUAAGCCCGCGGCCUAUCAGCUUGUUGGUAAGGUAAAAGCUUACCAAGGCAACGACGGGUAGCUGGUCUGAGAGGACGAUCAGCCACACUGGAACUGAGACACGGUCCAGACACCUACGGGUGGCAGCAGUCGAGAAUCUUUCACAAUGGGCGAAAGCCUGAUGGAGCGACGCCGCGUGGGGGAUGAAGGUCUUCGGAUCGUAAACCCCUGUCAUCUGUGAGCAAUGCCUCCCGGUCAAUAUCCGGAAGGUUGAUAGUAGCAGAAGAGGAAGGGACGGCUAACUCUGUGCCAGCAGCCGCGGUAAUACAGAGGUCCCAAGCGUUGUUCGGAUUCACUGGGCGUAAAGGGUGCGUAGGCGGCAUGGCAAGUUUGAUGUGAAAGCUCCGAGCUCAACUCGGAAAUUGCAUUGAAAACUGCCCUGCUAGAGGGGUGGAGGGGGGGCUGGAAUUCUCGGUGUAGCAGUGAAAUGCGUAGAUAUCGAGAGGAACACCAGUGGCGAAGGCGAGUCCCUGGACAACUCCUGACACUGAGGCACGAAAGCUAGGGGAGCAAACAGGAUUAGAUACCCUGGUAGUCCUAGCCGUAAACGGUGCACAUUUGCUGUGAGAGGAUUCGACCCCUUUCGUGGCGUAGCAAACGCGUUAAAUGUGCCGCCUGGGGAGUACGGUCGCAAGGUUAAAACUCAAAGAAAUUGACGGGGGCCUGCACAAGCGGUGGAGUAUGUGGCUUAAUUCGAUGCAACGCGAAGAACCUUACCUGGCCUUGACAUGCAUCUCUAAGCGUGUGAAAGCACGCGAGCUCUUCUGGGAGUAAUUUGCACAGGUGCUGCAUGGCUGUCGUCAGCUCGUGUCGUGAGAUGUUGGGUUAAGUCCCGCAACGAGCGCAACCCUUGUGUCCUGUUGCCACUCGAACUUCGGUUCGGAGCACUCUGGACAGACUGCCUGGUUCCAACCAGGAGGAAGGUGGGGAUGACGUCAAGUCAGUAUGGCCCUUACGGCCAGGGCUGCACACGUACUACAAUGCCCGGCACAGAGGGAAGCAAGACCGCAAGGUGGAGCAAAUCCCUAAAAACCGGGCUCAGUUCGGAUUGUCGUCUGCAACUCGACGGCAUGAAGCUGGAAUCGCUAGUAAUGGCGCAUCAGCUACGGCGCCGUGAAUACGUUCCCAGGCCUUGUACACACCGCCCGUCACAUCAUGAAAGCCGAUCAUACCCGAAGUCGCCGAGCUAACCCUCGGGAGGCAGGCGCCGAAGGUAAGAUUGGUGAUUGGGAU
rnacentral:rRNA from 1 species